GCCCUUGUAGCCCAAUAGGGAGAGGUAGCCACCUCAAAGUGUCCAGUGCGGGUUCGACUCCCGUCAAGGGCG
rnacentral:tRNA from 1 species